rnacentral:rRNA from 1 species
AGAUUGAACGCUGGCGGCAUGCCUAACACAUGCAAGUCGAACGGUAACAGGUCUUCGGAUGCUGACGAGUGGCGGACGGGUGAGUAAUGCGUAGGAAUCUGUCUUCUAGUGGGGGACAACCCAGGGAAACUUGGGCUAAUACCGCAUGAGCCCUGAGGGGGAAAGCGGGGGAUCUUCGAACCUCGCGCUAAGAGAGGAGCCUACGUCCGAUUAGCUAGUUGGCGGGGUAAAGGCCUACCAAGGCUACGAUCGGUAGCUGGUCUGAGAGGACGACCAGCCACACUGGGACUGAGACACGGCCCAGACUCCUACGGGCGGCAGC